AUUGAACGCUGGCGGUAGGCCUAACACAUGCAAGUCGAACGGCAGCACAGUAAGAGCUUGCUCUUACGGGUGGCGAGUGGCGGGCGGGGGAUGGAUACAUCCGAGGCUGCUGUUUCGAGGGUGAGGACGUGGGGGAACUUACGGUAAUAGUGCAGACGAACUACGGGGGGAAGCAUGGGAUCUUCCGACCUUGCGCGAUUGAAUGAGCGGAUGGCGGAUUAGCUAGUUGGAGGGGUAAAGGCCCACCAAGGCGACGAUCCGUAGCUGGUCUGAGAGGAUGAUCAGCCACACUGGAACUGAGACACGGUCCAGACUCCUACGGGAGGCAGCAGUGGGGAAUAUUGGACAAUGGGCGAAAGCCUGAUCCAGCCAUACCGCGUGUGUGAAGAAGGUCUUCGGGUUGUAAAGCCCUUUUGUUGGGAAAGAAAAGCAGUAGGUUAAUACCUUGCUGUUUUGACGGUACCCAAAGAAUAAGCACCGGCUAACUUCGUG
rnacentral:rRNA from 1 species